UGAGGAAUAUUGGUCAAUGGGCGGGAGCCUGAACCAGCCAAGCCGCGUGAGGGAGGAAGGCCCUAUGGGUCGUAAACCUCUUUUGUCAGGGAACAAAAGCGAGUAUGUAUACUAGUCUGAGUGUACCUGAAGAAAAAGCAUCGGCUAACUCCGUGCCAGCAGCCGCGGUAAUACGGAGGAUGCGAGCGUUAUCCGGAUUUAUUGGGUUUAAAGGGUGCGUAGGCGGCGGUGCAAGGCAGCGGUAAAAGCCCGGGGGCUCAACCCCGGCGAGCCGUUGAAACUGCAGUGCUAGAGAAGGCGAGAGGUACGCGGAAUGCGCAGUGUAGCGGUGAAAUGCUUAGAUAUUGCGCAGAACUCCGAUUGCGAAGGCAGCGUACUGGCGCCUGACUGACGCUGAGGCACGAAAGCGUGGGGAUCGAACAGGAUUAGAUACC
rnacentral:rRNA from 1 species